rnacentral:rRNA from 1 species
CCCUUAGAUGUCCUGGGCUGCACGCGCGCUACACUGAUGUGUCCAGUAAGCACCUAACCUCUUCCGAAAGGAACGGGUAACCUUUGCAAAGCACAUCGUGAUGGGGAUAGAUUAUUGCAAUUAUUAGUCUUGAACGAGGAAUUCCUAGUAAGCACAAGUCAUCAGCUUGUGUUGAUUACGUCCCUGCCCUUUGUACACACCGCCCGUCGCUACUACCGAUUGAAUGGCUUAGUGAGGCUUCCGGAUUGGUUUAGAGAAGGGGGCAACUCCAUCUUGGAACCGAGAAGCUAGUCAAACUUGGUCAUUUAGAGGAAGUAAAAGUCGUAACA